CCUACGGGUGGCUGCAGUGGGGAAUAUUGGACAAUGGGGGCAACCCUGAUCCAGCCAUGCCGCGUGUGUGAAGAAGGCCCUCGGGUUGUAAAGCACUUUCAGUGAGGAAGAACGCCUGGUGGUUAAUACCCAUCAGGAAAGACAUCACUCACAGAAGAAGCACCGGCUAACUCCGUGCCAGCAGCCGCGGUAAUACGGAGGGUGCGAGCGUUAAUCGGAAUUACUGGGCGUAAAGCGCGCGUAGGUGGCUUGAUAAGCCGGUUGUGAAAGCCCCGGGCUCAACCUGGGAACGGCAUCCGGAACUGUCAAGCUAGAGUGCAGGAGAGGAAGGUAGAAUUCCCGGUGUAGCGGUGAAAUGCGUAGAGAUCGGGAGGAAUACCCGUGGCGAAGGCGGCCUUCUGGACUGACACUGACACUGAGGUGCGAAAGCGUGGGUAGCAAACAGGAUUAGAUACCCUUGUAGUC
rnacentral:rRNA from 1 species